UACGAAGGGGCUAGCGUUGCUCGGAAUCACUGGGCGUAAAGCGCACGUAGGCGGAUUGCUAAGUCAGGGGUGAAAUCCUGGAGCUCAACUCCAGAACUGCCUUUGAUACUGGCGAUCUCGAGUCCGGGAGAGGUGAGUGGAACUGCGAGUGUAGAGGUGAAAUUCGUAGAUAUUCGCAAGAACACCAGUGGCGAAGGCGGCUCACUGGCCCGGUACUGACGCUGAGGUGCGAAAGCGUGGGAGCAAACAGG
rnacentral:rRNA from 1 species